ensembl:lncRNA
CUGAAAAGAGCUGGCUCUGGUCAAUGUUGGCUGCUCCUGGCUGUUCUUCAGGAGUGCAUGAAGACAGAUGUCAAGUGAAGACAUGGCAAAUAUGGUAUUCCUGGUUCUUUAGCGUGAUGUAGAACAAAAGGCAAAUGAGCUGUGAAUCCUAGGGUGUUUCUCAAGGUUCAGUCCGUAGUCAUCACCUACAUGGCAAGGAAGCUUUUAAGAAAACAGAGCUUAGAAAACUUUUCUUUUUCUAUUUUGUUCUUUUCCUUCUUGUCUUUCAGUGCACUGUUAUUUGCUAGAUAAUUCUCUCUGCUGGUUUCAAGGUGAUCAUUUUGAGGACAUCAAUCUUUCUUUCAACAUCAAUCACACAGUCUAAACCUGGCAAUGACCACUAAAUGUAUGAAACGUUUGGUAACCCUUCUUGGCUUUCUUGACAUUUGGAUGUCUGCAGAUUCAUCCUUCUCCUGAGGGACAGAGCACGGAGGAGGAUCUGAAUUUGUUCAAGGUGGUAGCUGUUAUCCAAGACCAGUAAGGACCUGAUGGCAGCAAGAAUGUCGAGAUACCUAUAGCCAUGCAGAGCUGCCCAUAGAUGACUUGAUUCUUCAUUUUUUGUGUGAAAUUGAAAUUUAUGGAUGUCCUCAGAGCAUGGUGCUCAGGGAAGGUGAGAGAAGGAGCAGCUCUCCUGGACCCAGCCCUUGCAGGGUACCUUGCAGGGUACCGCUGCCUUCUGCUGCACAGAGAGAGAACUAUUUUCAAGCAUGAUGUUGGUAAAGGGAAUUGCUGCAGUACUGUGAUCAGCCAGAUCUUCUCUCAGCUGUAUUGCAUUGAUAGCAAAAUGAUACAAAAUCACUGUCAGAUUGAGAGCCAAGUGCUGCACAGAGCAUCCUUCCUGCUCUCGCAGAGGCACUCUCAUCCUUAGCAUGACGGUUUCAAAAGAUUUUGGGCCAAGCAUUACAACUCUUAAAAAAAAUAAAAAAAAAAAAAAAAAAGUCCCCUUAAUGAAAUUCAGUUUGGAUAUGUCUGUCUAAUGUAAGCCAACUCAGGAUGUGAAGCAAUUAGCACUUCUGUAGAUGUAAUCAUCCACAGCAGUCUGCACUUGGGUAGCUUUAGCCUCAGCUCUUUGGGUGCACCUUUUCUUUUUCUUUAUCCAGAAUGAGAUGUAUCAUUUGACCAUGGGCUGAUCUAAAAUGAAAACUUAGAUUAAGAGCAGUGCCAGUAGUAGUAAAUGGUUACGCUGCAGGAAUCAGAGCCAGCUGAAAAUUAGAAUUUUUGAAAGGGGGGCUGGAGUCUUAAUCUCAACCAGCUCUGGAAAAAUUGCAGCUCUGUUCUCCACAGGGAAGGAGGAGGGGGAAACGUUGAUUCAGAAAACAUGUGCUGCGCUCCACUGUAUAAAUCUGGAUUUCAAAAAUAAACUUUUUUAGCAUGCUUGAAAGUUGUUGCUGACUACUGCCAACUAGAAGAUUUAAUAAAGAGUUUAACUUAGAGCAGCCCAAGCCAGCUCUGCAAACACAUGCCUUCCUGCUGAGAUCAGAACGAAUAUCAGUGCAGUGUGCAAGAGCCAGACUGUACGAGCAGGGCUGUCUGCAUGCAUCCCUCAUCUGACUUCAGUUAUUGUUAUGGCUGGCACAUUUCCAUGGCUGUAAUCAUUGCAGAGUGUGUCCAAAGAUCUGCUCCAAACUCGAUCGUGCUGCUUACAUUUUUCAAUUAUUUUAGUAAGGCUCUUUCAUCUGCAAGCCUAGUCUGUCUGGUGAAUGGACACAUUUACCUUCUCAAUUAUAAAUCUUUUUAUAAUCUCUUGUGCUCUCCUUACAUAUCUUCUACUGUUGGAUUUUUGUACUUCUUGGAGUUCAGCCAAUUGUGAAAAGUCUUUUAACAUACAGACAGCAAAAAUUAUCAGGUUGUGUAAAAAGUCACAUUUUUCAUUAGACCUUUUUGAGCUGCUUUUUGAAAUUUAUGUUUAAUACAAAUAUUCUUGAGUCAGUAUCUUGAUGGGGUAGAUAUGGGAAGGGAGUUGAAAACAGAUUUCUGUUUUCCGCCAAGAGUUCAGCUUUUGUCUAGUGAUGUAUGCUGCUGGGAGAGAACUGACUUGGUGAAGGCAGCACAUCAUGGUCAGACCUCCAGCCAUCUCCCAGAGGGGCUCAGAGUACUGAGAAAUGAGCUGGGCUGGUUCUGGGAGGGGUGCAACAUUGAACAGAGCUGAUUUGGAGGAGACCUGUCAAGCCAUGCUCAAAUGUCUAUAGCCAGAUACGUUGUGAUCAGGGGAAAUCCAGAAAUAAAGAAAGGAGCCUGUUAUACACGUGGCCACGUGAAAAAAAGUUUCAGAAAAUGCCAUUUUUGGCUCUGUUCCUUCACACAAAUACCCCUUUCCAAAGUGCAAGCAGAAGGAAUACAUUUUAUUUUCCAAUAAGUAAGCAGGUUAGAAUGUUGCCAGCUUGUAAAGAAAAGUUGAGGGGAAAGAACACUACCUCGUGAGAUUUGGGGACAGUGGGACCUGGGGACAGAGGGAGUAGUAAGGAGGAGAUUUCUUCUGAGUCCUUUUAAAGGCUGAGUUACAAAACAAAUGCCUCAAAAUGAGAGGCUAUCGGUGAUGGCAUAGGACAGGCAGAAAGACCAGUGGAAUACCAUACUUUGCUACGUGGCAUUACUCUGCUAAGUCGUUGAAUACUCCAAACUGGAAUGAAAGGGUGAUGAUGUUCUUGUCUCAUUACUGAUAUUAAUAAUAUAUUUAUUCAGAGGGAAAACAAAGACUCACAAAGGGCAAACCACUUCUUUGCUCUGUAUGUAGUGUCUCUCGGUCAGCAUGAUGGUAUGAAUCCAGAGAUUGUGUACAGGUCAUAUAUAGACAGCAGGGAAAAAUAUGCACUGAGAAUUGAUGUGUGAAAAGAUCAUUUUUCUACAGUUAAUAAAAC